rnacentral:lncRNA from 10 species
GUAAGAAACUCCGGGAUACAGAAAUCCCUCUGUCCUUGUGAUAAGGAAGAGAGUCUAAUUGAGCUAACACAAGCCACCUGCAGAUGGCUAAAUUAAAAAAGCGCCCUGUAACACAUGCCCACUGGGGCUUUAGGAGCUAUAAACACUCACCCCUACACACUGCCAUGAGGUUGCAGCCCCACAACCUGCCCGUCUGUAUGCUCCCCUAGAGGUUUGAGCAGUGGGGCACUGAAGAAGCAAGCCACUCCCCUGUCACACGCCCUGUGAGGGGGACAAGGGAACUUUUCCUGUUUCACUACUAUGCGGCUGGAGCCCAAAAGCACUCAUCCCAGCUCCUGCACCUGUCUGUCUGCAUGUUUCCCCCUCUUGUAAGGGGUUUGAGUACAUGGUGGCCAAGCAAACAGGCCACACCCUUGUUGCAAGUCCCGCGAGAGGUUCAGAGAACUCUCCCGUUUCACUCCUGCCUCAGGCCUCAGCCACCACAGUAAGUGGAACUCUAUACCUCCACCUCGCCUGGCUGGGUGGAGCCUCUAAACUCAGGAUUCUGCCUUGAGCUGUGGCUCUCCCCUCAGGUUGACAGGGUCCAGAGCAAAACCUACGGAAGAAGCUGCAGAGGCCAGGUGGAGGGAAGGAUGCUGAACUGGAGGAGGCCAGGAAAUUAUGAGGUACACCAAUCAAACAUAGUGUGUCCAGAAUUUGUGGGUUCUUGGUCUCACUGACUUCAAGAACGAAGCUGCGGACCCUCACGGUGAUUCUAAGCACAUUAAAAUCUGGAUGACACUUAUCUGAAUCAUUUCGCAACUUGGAGAGAGAUGGAGAAGACACGCAUGGUGUAACUGGGCAUCACCAGAAUGUGCACUGCCAUCUGUGGCUGUCUUCCUGCUGGCAAAUCCUUUUCAUUCCAAGCAAAUAAGAUUCCCUAAAUUAGACAAAAAGGAAGAAACACAACAGAGUCCAUAAUUCUGAGAGGAAGAGAAGAGUGAUCAUCAGCAGCAAAAGGCAAUUGCAGAGAAGCACCACCAAGAGCCAGCUUCAUGCUCAGGAGUGAAUGCUGAGCCGCCUCCUCGUGGUUUCCGGUGCUCCACAUGUUCAGAGAAACUUCUCUGGUGCAGAAAGAAGCCUUCUUGGUGCUUCCUUUAUCUGACAAAAAGCAGAGACUUCUGGAAAAAUGAGGCUGCCAUACCUCCCUCUUACGGGUGGCUUUUACUCCCAGGAAGAUGAUCAAGAAACCUACCGUAAGUCCUCUCUCCAGGGAAGUUUUAUGGCCAUGAAUGAGAUACAGAGAUCACUCAGGCCUGCAUGAACAAGCACUAUCACAAACUCUUUAUCUCUCAUUUGUUCUUCUAGAAAUCCAUCUGUUCCUCCUAUAGAGGCCUUUUCCCCCACUGCCUCUUUUCCCUACUAAGCUGGGCAUAUAAGUUUCUAGCUUUAACUACUUACUGAGUUUCUUCUUUUUCAAGCUCCUAUAUGCAUAUAAAUAAGGUCCCCCUGCCCACCUGUUAAUCUGUCUUUUAUCAGCUUAAUUUGCAGGCCCCCAGGUACUGAACUUAAGAGGACAGAGGAAAAGUUUUUCCUCCCUGACACUGAGCAACCAGAGGCUGCUGUUAAGUAACCUUCCCUCAUUUCUACGUCUGUCCUCUGCCCCUUCCAGCCCCUCAACCCACAUUGUCUCUCAUGUUCCUAUUCACCUAAAAGAGGAAAAUCAUAUUAUUUCAAUAAACCUCUGCCUUAUAGUUUGUAAACUGUUUUCUGUUGUUUUUUUGUUUUGUUUUGAGACAGAGUCUUGCAGUGGCACCAUCUCAGCUCAGUGCAACCUCUGCCUCCCAAGUUCAAGCGAUUCUCCUGCCUCAGCCUCCUGAGGAGCUGGGAUUACAGGCGUGCGCCACCACGCCCAGCUAAUUUUUGUAUUUUUAGUAGAGACGGGCUUUCACCGUGUUGGUCAGGCUGGUCUCGAACUCCUGACCUCAUGAUCCACCCACCUCAGCCUCCCAAAAUGCUGGGAUUACAGAUGUGAGCCACCGAGCCCGGUCAACUGUUUUCUGUCCUUGUAAUUGGUAUAAUGACAAUUGCAUUAAUACUUCAUCUGCUGGACACUGGGUAAGAACUCUCCAAGUGUAAGUGGAAAUUUUUCUGCAAAUGGAUCUCAUGUUACAUAGCACAGGCCUACCAUAAUAUCAGAAUUACAGAAUUUGGAUUUGAACAUCAAAUACAGAUAUGUUCCCUAUAUACAUUUUCAUAAAUCAAUCAAAAGAAUCCUGUAAUCCUAGCACUCUGUAAUCCUAGCACUUUGGGAGGCCUAGGCGGGUGGAUCACCUGAGGUUAGGAGUCCAAGACCAGUUUGGCCAACAUGGUGAAAUCCUGUCUCUACAAAAAUUAAGUGGGCAUGAUGGCGGGUGCCUGUAAUCCCAGCUACUCAGGAGGCUGAGGCAGGAGAAUCGCUUAAACCCAGGAGGCAGAGGUUGCAAUGGUGCCAUUGUACUCCAGCAUGGGCAACUGAGUGAGACUCUGUCUGUCUCCAAAAAAAAAAAAAAAAAAAAAAAACCUGUCACACUCAAAGCAUGAUUUUUUUAAAGUAAAGGAACAAAAACUCUUUGGUCCCUACAGUCAUAUCUCACAGAUCUUAACAAACAAGUUCCUAAUUAAGUAAUAAUACAUAAAACUCAUAUUGGCCCAAGGUAGGAUCUAGAUGUUUUAGAAACUAGUCUAUUGGCCCUGACUCAGACCACAGGUGCUCACAGCCUCAGGCAGUGGGUCCCUUUGACAGCGGAAGGACUCCUGCCUUGCAAAGAUCAUUCACGGUAUUUGUCUACUCGGGCAUUUGGAGGAAUUUAUCUGAGAGAUCUCUGUUCCUCUGUGGCCCUGACAUGUCUUUUCUCCUCUUGUAUUUUCACUCUUACUUUUCUUCUUUCAGCAUUAGGAAUGCUUUCCUUUGUUCAAGCCAGCCCACUGUGUAAUCUUAACAACAUUCAUAAAAGGGAAUUCUUCAUACGUGCCCUUAGCUCACAGCGCCCCGCGUCAAGUUCUAGGAAUCCAUGUGUGAGGAACAAAGAGGAUUGUUUCGUCUGUAAAUGGGUUAUUCUGACAACAGGGCAAUUUUGGCUUCUCUCUAAGCUUCACAAAGCUUUGCAGCACAGCCCUGGCAAGGAAUCACAAUGACAAUGGCUGCACUGAAGCCACACACUCCAUGUGCAGGGCCGGAACAUGAUUAAAGCAAUCAAAUGCACGAGGUUUAGAGAAUGAACUGUUACAAAUUACAAGUUUGCAGGGGGAGAGGAUUUGGAAGUCUUUACUCAAGGUUCAAGCAUUAUAGCAAAUUGUGUCUAAUAUAAUAAUAUUAGAUUAUUAAUAUUAUUGUAGCUAAACUUUAACGCUUGUGAUAAAACACGUCAGAUUUAAACACAUCACUUUAAAUAGAAUUCCAAGGGUUAGGUCUUAUCUCCAUUUAGGAAGUGGGGAAACUGAGGAAUGAGGUUAUGAAAACUGCCUAAGGUUAAUCUGCUGGUGAGAGGCAGUGAUGGUGCUGGAAUCCAGGCCUCCUAGCUGUUGCUUCCUGCCUCAUCUUCUUCCUCUUUUUAGCUUCAGCAACAUCACAUGUUGCCUGGAGACCCACUGAAUGUUGGAUUCGGAGGUCACUUAGAGGUUACACUCCCCUCCCCUUCUUCACCUUAUGGGUGAAAAAGCAGAGGCUUGGGCAGGUCACUUGAGUUGCCCAAGGCCAAUUUAGGUGGAGCUAGGAGUACGACCUAAGUCUCCUGAGAUACAGCUUAAUAGGCUGUCUCCCACCCAGGGUUAUGUGUAUACUCUUUUCAUCCAAUUAAUUUUUCAGCCAACAGCUACAUCCUUUCAUUUGAGCCCUGUGCUUUCAAAUUACAUGUCUUCCCACUCAAAGAAGUGGGACUAAAUCCACAGAGUUUUGCAAGCUUAAAGGCACCUCUUAAAGAUCUGGAAGCCACCAGUAUUAUUCAUAUAAAUACAGAGCCAGGAGACGGAUCUCUAUAUUGCUUUAGGUAAAUCUCUUCUUAAAUUAAAACACAGAUUAUGUUACAGCAAGUCAUUAAGAGUCAUAAGAGGCAAAAGUGAGACAGUGAAUUGAUCAAAUCACCCACAGUCAUGGCGCAGACAUCAGUUUAGGCAAGUCAUCAUUUAACCUAAUUGAAGAGUUAAUACUUCCUACAUUCUUUACCUUCAACUUAUUUAUUUCUGGCCCUGAGUAUUUCAGAUGUGCUAAGUGCUGCCCUGAGAACUCCGUACUCACAACGUUCCUUUGCCCUUUCUUAAUCCUCCAAUGACAUUACCAGUGAGGUUCUGUUAUUAAAUCCAUUCCAUAGUCCCAAGAGACUGAGGUUUAAAGAAAUGAAGCAACCUGCCUGAGGUUGCUGAAGACUUUACCUGAAUCCAGGUGAUCCAGGUGCCAGGGGUCGGUGGCGGACGACAUGGGGGAGAGGGUCAGCGGCGAGGCC